rnacentral:rRNA from 1 species
UGAGUAACGCGUGGGUAACCUGCCCUUAAGUCUGGGAUACCAUUUGGAAACAGAUGCUAAUACCGGAUAAAAGCUACUUUCGCAUGAAAGAAGUUUAAAAGGCGGCGUAAGCUGUCGCUAAAGGAUGGACCUGCGAUGCAUUAGCUAGUUGGUAAGGUAACGGCUUACCAAGGCGAUGAUGCAUAGCCGAGUUGAGAGACUGAUCGGCCACAUUGGGACUGAGACACGGCCCAAACUCCUACGGAGGCAGCAGGC